UCUCCCAAAAUCAGGGUUUUCAUCAAGCCCUCUUUCUCAGAUUUUGAUUUACUCGUUCGUCGAUCUUCAUUGCAUUAAUGGAUUGAAUUUCGCAAAUUGUGUGUGUGAUUCGGCAAAUUGAUCAAAUAUGAGGAGAGGCAUGUGAUGAACAGCCACUCGGAGAGAUAAAUACGAUCUGGGUGCUGGAGAUGUUUAGUAAAGCUUGGCUUGUUUGAUGGGGUAUUAUCCUGAAAGUUGUCGUGGUGAAGCAGACCAAGGCCAAGCAGGCGCUGCUGAGUUGUAUUUUAUGCAGGGUCGAGAAUAACAGCCAUUCACUUGGUAAAUGUUGCAUCCAACUGCUUGUACUUUUGACACGUAGUUUACAUGAUAUGCUUCAGUUUUAAAAUCAUAAUUCUGAUGUGUUUUUCAUUUUUCUUUGUAUGUGACACCCGCAUUGAGACUUAUACGAGUGAAAGGGAAGCAGAAGUAGAUAUACAGUGAUGGGGCCAAAGCCUAAAUUGCAGCAGCAGAGCCCAAAAAAUGUGAUUUACUUCUUUCCAAUUUAUUGCUUUAGUUGUAAUUAUUUCAGUUAAUCUAACUUUAGCUUUAGUUUGAUUUAACUAGAUUCUCCAAAAUAUACCUAAUAAUUCUAAUCAAAUAUACCUUAUUUUCAAGGGA